CGAAACAAUCACCAUAAAAUUAUUUAUUAUUCUAUCCGAAAAUUUAUUAUUUUCUUCGAUUUAUCUCAUCCAGUCCAUUUUGUCAAGGGAAAAAAUUCAGUUUUUUUUUUUGUGAAACCAGUUUAAUUUCAAAUCUUCUUGAAGGUAUUGGUGAAAGUGAAAAUUCAACCACAAUCACAUCGGCCGCUACAUCAAAGUUUUUUGUGCAUCACACGACAACUUGACUGUAUGAAUCACACGCAAAGAAAAAAACCACAGCCUUUCUGAGUUUCAUAAGAAAAUAGAACAAAAAUUGUGGUGAAAUGACCAGAUUAAAAUUAAAUAGACUGCAACGUAGAUUUGUUUGGCCACAGCAGUCUGUCAAAUUCGAAGGUUCGCACUAAGUCAGCAUUGAACAAUAAAGUCACAGGUGGUUUCAAUUUGUACCUUUUCUGCCACAUCCACUAUUACAUUUACCACAAAACGUGAGUGAGAUUCUCUCAACAAUUAGG